GAAGCUCUGUCCUAGAGCACUGUUUGGCUUUCUUGUUCUGUCUGUGUCGUAUUUAUUAAGAGCACAAUACCUUCGGGAAUUUGAGGGCAUGUGUGAAGUAAAUACAAACCCCACUCAGUACUUAAUCAUUAGGCGUCGCUGAAGUAGAGAAACAAGAUGCGCAGAGCAGCUUCUCCCACGCGGAGCACUGGCUGCCCACCCUCUUAUGCCCAGCACCAGGCAGGCGCUCCUGGGAAACAGACAGGGGCUUGUAACUAAUGAAUGACAACAGAAACAUUAAUAUUCCUGCCACGCAACCAAAUCCAUCCUGCAUGGAAUAGGACUACAUUCGCUGUGUACAGAGUGGGAAAGGCCCUAGGUGAGGUGGUAAUUGAAGAAGGGUUGUAGGAAUGCCAGGUGCCGGGAGUUACAGGCCUGCUUGCCUUUUGUCUUCCUCACAGCCCCAGAAUAGAGUUUUAGGAGCUGUGUGUGUGAUUAGAGGAGGAAGCCAGGGGAACGUUACAGGGUCAGCAUUUCAGGAACACGGUGAGACUCUGAGGCAAGGUGAAUAAAGAUGAGCCAAGGACAACAGAAAGGCCCAACUGAAGGGAAUUGAAAUCCUGGAGAGAACAAAGAUGACUUCAUGAUCAGAAGGAAAGUGUCUCUCACGAGCUCCAAGGUGAUUAGAAGUUUCCAUAGCGCUGAAAAGGAUGGAUGAUCAAUGUCUAGGUGUCACCUAAUUCACACGUUCUUACGCAAACCUGGAGGACAUGGAGACCGAAGGCUGGUGGAAGGCUGCCUGGAGACAAACACAGAGAAACAGAAGGGCCUCUGAGUUCCCUUCUAUCAUCUCACCCCUGAAUCUUCAGGACAUCUACCUAGAAAGAGAGUCCCUUUGAACUGCUAUAACGAGACUAUGAUUGAAUCAUUUCUGCGAGAUGUCCAGAUGUUAGAGUACAGCCUGUGAAUCAUCUGAAUUAAGAGUUGCGCCUAGAGGAGUUUAUUUAAUUCUACAAAAUACCAUGAAAUGUGUCAUCUCAGCUCAACGUCAUAGAACGCAUCCUGCAUUCUUUUCUCCCAUGGACCCUUGUCCCCGCAUCAGUAGUGACGCAGUGCCUCCAUGGACGGUUCCAGAACACACCAUGCUCCUUGCUGCAGGUUCGGGCCAUUUUCUACACCAACUCCCAAAUGCCUGGAAGCGGGUCUCAAACCUUUCCAUGCACAAAAAUCACGAGAUCUUGUUAAAAUGCUGACUCCUGGUUUUACAUUUUAAAAUUAGUUCGCCCAGCUGUUCAGUUGCAGGUAACCCUUGGAUUCUACUUGAAUAAACACAGCUUUCUUCCCCAUUCCCGCCUCCCUGAUGAAGCCUUCUGACAGAUGCUACCCAUACUGAUGUCUUCCUUGGACUCUAGAGUGAUAAAUUGACCUCUGAUUCAGCCCUGAAUAGUUUAUCUUCUUGCGUUGUUGUUUAUUUCAUGUGAUACUGUCUCAGUUCUGUCCUCUACUGAACACUCCGGGACGAACCCGUGUCUGAAAUGAUGUUAUAGUGAUGUACAAUAGACAUUAAAUAAGACUGGCAUGGAAUGUCCACGGAACAGACAGUCUCUCGUGGCAAAAGAAUGGAGUUAUUUAUAGACUGGAAGGUGACUGGAGAGAGAUGCCCUGAGAGAAAGCAGACAUUCAAUGAAGGAAGCGCUGGCAUGUGGGCAGCGUUGCCUUCGCCUUCCUUGGUGCCUCUACAGAAGCAAAGCCCAGGCAGUGCGGGCCCGCAGAGCCCCGCGUCCCGGGACGGGUUCUGCCCUUCCCUGCUGUGUGACCUGGGAGUGUCCCUUCUCUGGACCUUAGCGUGCCCAACUAGGAAAGGGAAUUUUAUGGCAUGAUCUCUCAAGUCCCUCCUGAUGCUACAGUCUGGACAUUCACUCGUAUCCGGGAAGGCUACCAGAAAGACUAGUGUUACUCAAAGGAAGCAUUUCCUGGCUGUGACAGUUGUCAGUACCUCUGUUCUCAGCUUUCUUUUUCUAAUUUCAAAUUAUUCCUUCAUUUAAAAACUCUUUUUCCAUAUUUUCUCCACUGUUUUAAAC
rnacentral:lncRNA from 1 species